GCUGGUAUCUCUAGCGAGCGGGCCACACCUGUUCCCAUGCCGAAUACAGAAGUUAAGCCGCUCUGCGCCGAUGAUACUCGUUCUGCGGGGAAAGUAGGACGAUGCCAGCA
rnacentral:rRNA from 1 species